GAGUUUGAUCCUGGCUCAGAGCGAACGCUGGCGGCAGGCCUAACACAUGCAAGUCGAACGAUCCUUCGGGAUAGUGGCGGACGGGUGAGUAACACGUGGGAACGUGCCCUUUGGUUCGGAAUAACUCAGGGAAACUUGAGCUAAUACCGGAUGUGCCCUUCGGGGGAAAGAUUUAUCGCCAUUGGAGCGGCCCGCGUCUGAUUAGCUAGUUGGUAGGGUAAAGGCCUACCAAGGCUACGAUCAGUAGCUGGUCUGAGAGGAUGAUCAGCCACACUGGGACUGAGACACGGCCCAGACUCCUACGGGAGGCAGCAGUGGGGAAUCUUGCGCAAUGGGCGAAAGCCUGACGCAGCCAUGCCGCGUGAAUGAUGAAGGUCUUAGGAUUGUAAAAUUCUUUCACCGGGGACGAUAAUGACGGUACCCGGAGAAGAAGCCCCGGCUAACUUCGUGCCAGCCGCCGCGGUAAU
rnacentral:rRNA from 2 species